GCGUUGUCCAAAAAUCACUAAGAUUAGAGAGGUGUAUACCGGUGGAUAUAGUGGGUUUCUAGGUGGAAUCGAGAGAAAACAAUUGUUGGAGGAAAGUUUCCAAGGUCGUUAUCACAUAGAGAAAUGAUGCAUCGGAACUGUAAACUUCCAAUAGCUUACAAGAGGUUGGAAUCGAGUUGCUUUAGAACGAUUAUGCUUCAUCUGCUCAUACUUGUCAAGGAUGUAUGAACCAAGCUGAAAUCUUCAUGUCAAAAAGGGAGUAUUCCGAUCGAAGAAAAAUUUACAAUCGGACUCCGAUCAACAACGUUGUCCAAAAAUCACUAAGAUUAGAGAGGUUUGUUUCUUCUUCCUUAAUUCUCGUAAUUUUGUUGUAUAUUGUUCUUUGGUGGUUAUGUCUUGGCCAAUUUGAUGCUCUUAAUUCAUAAAUCUUUUGGUGUUGGCAUGCUUCUUCUUUUUAUCUAAUAAUUUAUCAUGUGUUCAAUUACUUGCUUUUAAGUUUAGAGUGGACUAAUUUUUUUGGGUAUAAUUAAGAUUAGCUCACUAAAAUAUUUGAUGACUUAUUCUAACAAAUUAGGUUUUGAUCAUUGUUGACAUGAAAAAAAGAGUUUGGGCUUAACUUUUCAUUUCAACUUGUUUUAUAUUAGUGAAAAAUGCUCUAAGUUUAUACUCUAAGCGAGAGCACGCAUAGUUUGUCGUUUUAAUUGAGGUUAGCAAUUUAAAAUGGCAAGGUCGUGUUUAUGCGUGUUGAACCAUAUUAUCCUCUUAAGAAUAUAUAUUUUUUGAUUCAACGAAAGGGUUGACUCAACCUUUAGGUGCGAUACACAAGGAGAUGUCACAUAUAUGCAUCUUGAUAAGCUUAUAUUGAAUCUGAGGUUGUAACUUUGCAUCUUAGUUAGCACUAAUAAAAUUCAACAAUAGAAGUGACCCAUAGACAAAUAAUUUAUCCAAGAUUGAUUUAGUCAAGUAUAAAUUGACAAAAACGACUGUGCUAGAAUUAAAGGACUCAGGGGUGCCUCUAACCUUCUCCAAGUCAACAAAAUUUCUUACCUUGUCUUUUAUUUUCAUAGAGCAAUAGAAAGUGCCAUUUCAUUUUUGAAUUAUAGUGACUCCGCUUGAGUUAUGGUGUUUUACGUCACCUUUUUGAACUCCUGAUUAAAAGGAAAUGAUUCUUUUUGUUGGUCUAUGAAAACAAAAGAUCGUGUAAGAAAUAUUGUUGAUCAGAGAUGGUAUGAGGACGUCCCAUGAAUCUCUUGGUUCUGACACGAUCACCUUUGUCAAAAUUAUACUUGACUUAAAUAAAUAUUGGAUAAAUCAUUUGGCUAUGAUUCACUUCAAUUGUUGUAUUUUGUUGGUCUUAACUAAGAAACAAAGUUGCGAUUUCAACUACGAUAUACACUUAUCAAGAUGCAUAAACACGACCUAUCCUUAUGUAUCACACCUGAAGAUUGAUACUCGUUUGUUGAAUCAAAUAUUAACACUUUUAAAGAGAAUUUGGAUCUAGAUGCGUAAAUGCAACUUUAUCGUUUUAUUAAUUAUUUUUAUCUAAGACGCAAAAUUUUGAUCUUAGUUAAGACGAUAAAUUAUGCAUGCUCUGGCUUAGAGCUUAAUGUUAGAGCACUUAUUUCAUUAAUCUAGCAAUUACAAAUGAAAACUUAAGCUAGAACUUCUUUUUUGUCAUUUCACCAAUGAAUCAAACCCCAAUUAGUGAACUAAUCCUAAUUAAAUCUAAAUUAAUUAAUUCACUUUAAACAAAAGUUUAAAAGCAAAUAAUCCACACAGAAUAAUUUAUUAGCUAUAAGCAUGUCAACACUAACAGAUCAAUGUAUUUGUGGAUCUUGUAGGCGUGUCAAAAUGAGUUCAAAUAUAGGUAAUCCGCUUAAUCUGUCUAGAAUUUUAUGGGUUGAGCUCAAGAGAGUAUGAUUCGGGUUCAACCUCAACUCAUUCAAGCAUUAACCCAUUUUAAAAUAAGGGAAAAAUGUCAAAAAUGUUUUUAAACUAUGUGAAAUGAACAAAAAUGCCAUCCGUUUAAGUUUUGGUCCAAAAAUAUUUUUGUCGUCAAU